rnacentral:rRNA from 1 species
UUAAGCGACUAAGCGUACACGGUGGAUGCCCUGGCAGUCAGAGGCGAUGAAGGGCGUGCUAAUCUGCGAUAAGCGCCGGUAAGGUGAUAUGAACCGUUAUAACCGGCGAUACCCGAAUGGGGAAACCCAGUGUGACUCGUCACACUAUCAUUAACUGAAUCCAUAGGUUAAUGAGGCGAACCGGGGGAACUGAAACAUCUAAGUACCCCGAGGAAAAGAAAUCAACCGAGAUUCCCCCAGUAGCGGCGAGCGAACGGGGAGGAGCCCAGAGCCUGAAUCAGCAUGUGUGUUAGUGGAAGCGUCUGGAAAGGCGCGCGAUACAGGGUGACAGCCCCGUACACAAAAGCGCAUGUGCUGUGAGCUCGAUGAGUAGGGCGGGACACGUGGUAUCCUGUCUGAAUAUGGGGGGACCAUCCUCCAAGGCUAAAUACUCCUGACUGACCGAUAGUGAACCAGUACCGUGAGGGAAAGGCGAAAAGAACCCCGGCGAGGGGAGUGAAAAAGAACCUGAAACCGUGUACGUACAAGCAGUGGGAGCCCCACCACUAAGCCAGUGGUGAACUCCACAUACGCAUCCUUUGCUGAGGAUACGGUUAACGGAGCGAAAGCGACGUUCAACCUCAAAAGAAGCAGAGGGGGCUUAGUGGUGGGGUGACUGCGUACCUUUUGUAUAAUGGGUCAGCGACUUAUAUUCUGUAGCAAGGUUAACCGUAUAGGGGAGCCGUAGGGAAACCGAGUCUUAAUCGGGCGUUAAGUUGCAGGGUAUAGACCCGAAACCCGGUGAUCUAGCCAUGGGCAGGUUGAAGGUUGGGUAACACUAACUGGAGGACCGAACCGACUAAUGUUGAAAAAUUAGCGGAUGACCUGUGGCUGGGGGUGAAAGGCCAAUCAAACCGGGAGAUAGCUGGUUCUCCCCGAAAGCUAUUUAGGUAGCGCCUCGUGAAUUCAUCUCCGGGGGUAGAGCACUGUUUCGGCUAGGGGGCCAUCCCGGCUUACCAACCCGAUGCAAACUGCGAAUACCGGAGAAUGUUAUCACGGGAGACACACGGCGGGUGCUAACGUCCGUCGUGAAGAGGGAAACAACCCAGACCGCCAGCUAAGGUCCCAAAGUCAUGGUUAAGUGGGAAACGAUGUGGGAAGGCCCAGACAGCCAGGAUGUUGGCUUAGAAGCAGCCAUCAUUUAAAGAAAGCGUAAUAGCUCACUGGUCGAGUCGGCCUGCGCGGAAGAUGUAACGGGGCUAAACCAUGCACCGAAGCUGCGGCAGCGACACUGUGUGUUGUUGGGUAGGGGAGCGUUCUGUAAGCCUGUGAAGGUGGCCUGUGAGGGUUGCUGGAGGUAUCAGAAGUGCGAAUGCUGACAUAAGUAACGAUAAAGCGGGUGAAAAGCCCGCUCGCCGGAAGACCAAGGGUUCCUGUCCAACGUUAAUCGGGGCAGGGUGAGUCGACCCCUAAGGCGAGGCCGAAAGGCGUAGUCGAUGGGAAACGGGUUAAUAUUCCCGUACUUGGUGUUACUGCGAAGGGGGGACGGAGAAGGCUAUGUUGGCCGGGCGACGGUUGUCCCGGUUUAAGCGUGUAGGUGUGUGUUCCAGGUAAAUCCGGUUCACUUUAACACUGAGGCGUGACGACGAGGCACUACGGUGCUGAAGCAACAAAUGCCCUGCUUCCAGGAAAAGCCUCUAAGCAUCAGGUAACAUCAAAUCGUACCCCAAACCGACACAGGUGGUCAGGUAGAGAAUACCAAGGCGCUUGAGAGAACUCGGGUGAAGGAACUAGGCAAAAUGGUGCCGUAACUUCGGGAGAAGGCACGCUGACACGUAGGUGAAGUGAUUUACUCAUGGAGCUGAAGUCAGUCGAAGAUACCAGCUGGCUGCAACUGUUUAUUAAAAACACAGCACUGUGCAAACACGAAAGUGGACGUAUACGGUGUGACGCCUGCCCGGUGCCGGAAGGUUAAUUGAUGGGGUCAGCGCAAGCGAAGCUCCUGAUCGAAGCCCCGGUAAACGGCGGCCGUAACUAUAACGGUCCUAAGGUAGCGAAAUUCCUUGUCGGGUAAGUUCCGACCUGCACGAAUGGCGUAAUGAUGGCCAGGCUGUCUCCACCCGAGACUCAGUGAAAUUGAACUCGCUGUGAAGAUGCAGUGUACCCGCGGCAAGACGGAAAGACCCCGUGAACCUUUACUAUAGCUUGACACUGAACAUUGAGCCUUGAUGUGUAGGAUAGGUGGGAGGCUUUGAAGCGUGGACGCCAGUCUGCGUGGAGCCGACCUUGAAAUACCACCCUUUAAUGUUUGAUGUUCUAACGUGGACCCGUAAUCCGGGUUGCGGACAGUGUCUGGUGGGUAGUUUGACUGGGGCGGUCUCCUCCUAAAGAGUAACGGAGGAGCACGAAGGUUGGCUAAUCCUGGUCGGACAUCAGGAGGUUAGUGCAAUGGCAUAAGCCAGCUUGACUGCGAGCGUGACGGCGCGAGCAGGUGCGAAAGCAGGUCAUAGUGAUCCGGUGGUUCUGAAUGGAAGGGCCAUCGCUCAACGGAUAAAAGGUACUCCGGGGAUAACAGGCUGAUACCGCCCAAGAGUUCAUAUCGACGGCGGUGUUUGGCACCUCGAUGUCGGCUCAUCACAUCCUGGGGCUGAAGUAGGUCCCAAGGGUAUGGCUGUUCGCCAUUUAAAGUGGUACGCGAGCUGGGUUUAGAACGUCGUGAGACAGUUCGGUCCCUAUCUGCCGUGGGCGCUGGAGAACUGAGGGGGGCUGCUCCUAGUACGAGAGGACCGGAGUGGACGCAUCACUGGUGUUCGGGUUGUCAUGCCAAUGGCACUGCCCGGUAGCUAAAUGCGGAAGAGAUAAGUGCUGAAAGCAUCUAAGCACGAAACUUGCCCCGAGAUGAGUUCUCCCUGAGACUUAGAGUCUCCUGAAGGAACGUUGAAGACGACGACGUUGAUAGGCCGGGUGUGUAAGCGCAGCGAUGCGUUGAGCUAACCGGUACUAAUGAACCGUGAGGCUUAACCUU